ACGAACGCUGGCGGCGUGCUUAACACAUGCAAGUCGAACGAAGAGCGAUGGAAGCUUGCUUCUAUCAAUCUUAGUGGCGAACGGGUGAGUAACGCGUAAUCAACCUGCCCUUCAGAGGGGGACAACAGUUGGAAACGACUGCUAAUACCGCAUACGAUCCAACCUCGGCAUCGAGGAUGGAUGAAAGGUGGCCUCUAUUUAUAAGCUAUCACUGAAGGAGGGGAUUGCGUCUGAUUAGCUAGUUGGAGGGGUAACGGCCCACCAAGGCAAUGAUCAGUAGCCGGUCUGAGAGGAUGAACGGCCACAUUGGGACUGAGACACGGCCCAGACUCCUACGGGAGGCAGCAGUGGGGAAUCUUCCGCAAUGGACGAAAGUCUGACGGAGCAACGCCGCGUGAGUGAUGACGGCCUUCGGGUUGUAAAGCUCUGUUAAUCGGGACGAAAGGUCCUCUUGCGAAUAGUUAGAGGAAUUGACGGUACCGGAAUAGAAAGCCA
rnacentral:rRNA from 1 species